UUCUAAUUCAUCUCAGAAGCGCUCGAUCAGUCCGCUCAAAAUUAUUACAUCAGCAGUUUUUAAAUAGAUUUUAUAUUGACAUUGCUAGUUACUCAUUUACCUCAGCCAGACAGAUGUUCAGCUAAGUUAGCUUGCUAGCUGUUAUUGUAGCUGCUUUCUGUUCGUAUGUAUAGUUGCAUUUUAAUGGCAUCCCUCGUGGAGAUUUUCUUUUAUCUUUCCAACUGGGCGAAGUACUAUGAAGGCACCACUGAUCUCGAGAAGAGGCGCAAAAUUUGUAGCGGGGCAGAGAAUUCCACAAUUCAGGGUGACAGAGAGCCCCAUACAGAAAGAGAGCAAGAAAGUGAGAGGGGAGAGAGGCAAUCACAUGUACCUAUGGGGAAGGAUGGCCAGCCACAAAGGAGGGUGAUUUUCACUAAGGAGAAGGAGGCCGUGCUGACAGAUGCAUGAUGGACAUUUAAUAUGAAAUGUAUUUAUCAAUCAAGGUGAGACUGAACAUCAACUAGGCACAGGGUAAGCAGGGCGAAAGACUUGCUUUGGAAAAAGGAUGAAAGGCGAGACCUGGGAAACCUCGCUGCUCUUUCGCUCCAAGCUGGGGUCAUCAUCCAUUAAAGGUUACCUCGGUGGAAGCCAAAAAUCUUCUCCAGUUGAACGGUCGACCACAAAGCCCUGACGCCCUACAUUUCGGUGAAGCCCGUGAGACAAAGACAGUCAACUGUCCGAGCCACCCAGAAGGUAUCCCAUCCACCAGAGCCAGUGAGUUUGGAUGAGUCUGAUUCUGUGCUCUGAGUCGGAAGGGGACCAGCUUGAGGUGGCUUGCGUCAGACUGGAGGAACAGGGGCAGGUAAGUCCAGUCACUGGACUAGAAGACACUAGGGAGGUUCUCAUCACUAGUGUCCAACAGGGACAGGUAAGGCAUCGCCAUGCUGUCAGCAGUAUCAACACUGGCUCAGGGGUUUGUCCAGCUAGUCAAUCUCAAGGCUAACCACUGGGUCACGGUAAGUAACCUUCGCUGCCAGGUAGGUACUGUUAAGGUGUAUGACUCCAGUGGUCAUGACACCACCCCAGAGUUUCUCACAACUCACCUCUCUCAUCUUUUCCAGGGACCUCUGAUUGUGGAGUGGCUGACAGUCCAGCAGUAGAAACGGGGCACAGAUUGUGGGCUGUUUGCUAUUGCAGAGAUGAGGAACACUCCAUGGCACGAUAUCAUCAGAAAUCCAUGAGAAAACAUUCUCUUGUUUUCAGGCUGGGCACCUGGCACCAUUUCCCAAUUCCAUUCCCCGUCCAGGAGAUGCGGUAAGCAUUUAUGUGUGUUGUUUGUCACAUGUUGUCAAUGUGAGUGAAUUUGUCUGUUCAUCGUCCGUCAUCUGUUUUGUCUUAUAUUUCCCCCCACACUUGUUUUCACUGCUUGGCCAGCUCUCCACCUCAAGAUGGUAGGUAUUUUACUACAUUGCAUGUCAUUGUUAAUAACCUGUUGUAAUAUUGUAUAAAGAUGUUUUAUUGCAGACAUUGGCUGUGAAGUUGGUAAGUUGUUUGGUAAAUAUAUAGCAUAUGUAUCCGUCUUGUAUUCUAAGUAACGUUUACAAGCAUGUAAAUAUUUGUAUAUAUUUUUCCAUUUGUUUGCUGAUAAAUAUU